rnacentral:rRNA from 1 species
CCUACGGUGGGCAGCAGUGAGGAAUAUUGGUCAAUGGCCGUAAGGCUGAACCAGCCAAGUCGCGUGAAGGAAGAAGGAUCUAUGGUUUGUAAACUUCUUUUAUAGGGGCAUAAAGGUAUCCAAGUGUGGAUAUUUGCAUGUACCCUAUGAAUAAGCAUCGGCAAACUCCGUGCAUGCAGCCGCGGUAAUCCGGAGGAUGCGAGCGUUAUCCGGAUUUAUUGGGUGUAAGGGGUGCGUAGGUUGUUUUUUAAGUCAGCGGUGAAAGUUUGUGGCUCAACCAUAAAAUUGCUGUUGAAACUGGAAGACUUGAGUAUGUUAGAGGUAGGCGGAAUGCGUGGUGUAGCGGUGAAAUGCAUAGAUAUCACGCAGAACUCCGAUUGCGAAGGCAGCUUACUAAGCCAUAACUGACACUGAAGCACGAAAGCGUGGGGAUCAAACAGGAUUAGAUACCCCGGUAGUC